GAUGAACGCUAGCGGCAGGCUUAAUACAUGCAAGUCGAGGGGUAGCAAGAUUGUAGCAAUACAAUUGUUGGCGACCGGCAAACGGGUGCGGAACACGUACACAACCUUCCUACAAGUGGGGAAUAGCCCAGAGAAAUUUGGAUUAAUACCCCGUAACAUAGCGAUGUGGCAUCACAUUGCUAUUAUAGCUUCGGCGCUUGUUGCUGGGUGUGCGGCUGAUUAGAUAGUUGGCGGGGUAACGGCCCACCAAGUCUACGAUCAGUAGCUGAUGGGAGAGCAUUAUCAGCCACACGAGCACUGGGACACGGGCCCGACUCCUACGGGAGGCAGCAGUAAGGAAUAUUGGACAAUGGACGCAAGUCUGAUCCAGCCAUGCCGCGUGAAGGAUUAAGGUCCUCUGGAUUGUAAACUUCUUUUAUAAGGGACGAAAAAAGGUCUUUCUAGAUCGUCUGACGGUACCUUAUGAAUAAGCACCGGCUAACUCCGUGCCAGCCGCCGCGGUAAUAC
rnacentral:rRNA from 1 species